rnacentral:rRNA from 1 species
UACGUAGGGUGCGAGCGUUGUCCGGAAUUACUGGGCGUAAAGAGCUCGUAGGUGGUUUGUCGCGUUGUCCGUGAAAACUCACAACUCAAUUGUGGGCGUGCGGGCGAUACGGGCAGACUGGAGUACUGCAGGGGAGACUGGAAUUCCUGGUGGUAGCGGUGGAAUGCGCAGAGUAUCAGGAGGAACACCGGUGGCGAAGGCGGGUCUCUGGGCAGUGAACUGACGCUGGAGGAGCGAAAGCGUGGGGAGCGAACAGGA